GAUGAACGCUGGCGGCGUGCCUAACACAUGCAAGUCGAACGGAGAUUACGGACGGAAGUUUUCGGAUGGAAGACUGUAAUUCUUAGUGGCGGACGGGUGAGUAACGCGUGGGCAACCUGCCCUAUACAGGGGGAUAGCAGCUGGAAACGGCUGGUAAGACCGCAUAAGUCGGUUAAAUCGCAUGAUUUGAUCGGGAAAUGAGCAAUCAGGUAUAGGAUGGGCCCGCGUCCGAUUAGCCAGUUGGCAGGGUAAAAGCCUACCAAAGCGACGAUCGGUAGCCGGACUGAGAGGUCGGACGGCCACAUUGGGACUGAGACACGGCCCAAACUCCUACGGGAGGCAGCAGUGGGGGAUAUUGCACAAUGGAGGAAACUCUGAUUCAGCGACGCCGCGUGAGUGAAGAAGUAUUUCGGUAUGUAAAGCUCUAUCAGCAGGGAAGAUGAUGACGGUACCUGACUAAGAAGCCCCGGCUAACUACGUG
rnacentral:rRNA from 1 species